GUAGGUGGCAAGCGUUGUCCGGAAUUACUGGGUGUAAAGGGAGCGUAGGCGGGAGUGCAAGUCGGCUGUCUAAACUAUGGGCUCAACCCAUAAUCGCGGCCGAAACUGUAUUUCUUGAGUGAAGUAGAGGUAAGCGGAAUUCCUAGUGUAGCGGUGAAAUGCGUAAAUAUUAGGAGGAACACCAGUGGCGAAGGCGGCUUACUGGGCUUUAACUGACGCUGAGGCUCGAAAGCGUGGGUAGCAAACAGGAUUAGAUACCCUGGUAGUCCACGCCGUAAACGAUGAUUACUAGGUGUGGGGGGACUGACCCCUUCCGUGCCGGAGUUAACACAAUAAGUAAUCCACCUGGGGAGUACGACCGCAAGGUUG
rnacentral:rRNA from 1 species